rnacentral:lncRNA from 1 species
UUGUAAUCAAAGACGCAAUGAAAACACGUGUCAUCAGGACAAUGAUAUUUUGAAUGAAGAUAAAUUAUGUUCUUUCUUCUGGAACUUCAUUGAAGUUGAACCUGAUGAAGUUCAACAAGAACAAGUGUAGAGUCCUGCACCUGGGGAAUAAUAACUGCAUGCAUCAGUGCAGUCAGGGGCUGAGCUGCUGCAGAGGAGCUGUGCAGAGAAGGACCUGGGGGUCCUGGUGGGCAGCAGGCUGGCCAUGAGCCAGAGGUGUGCCCUGGUGGCCAAGAAAGCCAAUGGUAAUUAAAAGCAUUGCAAAGAGCAUAGCUGGCAUGUUGAGGGAGGUGAUCCUCCCCUCUGUUGUGCCCUGGUGAGGCCACAGCUGGAGUGCUGCGUCCAGUACUGGGCUCCCAAGUUUAAAAACAAACAAACAAAAAAAAAACAACAGGGAUCUCCUAGAGAGAGUCCAAUGGAGGGCCAAAAAGGUGAUUAAGGGCUUGGAGCAUCUUCUGUAUGAGGAAAGACUGAGAGAGCUGGGACUGUUCAGUCUGGAGAAAAGAAGGCUGAGAGGGGAUCUCAUCACUGUUUAUGAAUAUCUCAAGUGCAAGAGUCAAGUCAAUGUGGGCAGACUCUUUUCAAUGGCAAGCAACAAUAGAACAAGGGGCAGUGGCCAGAAACUGAAAUAUGGGAAGUUCCAUACUAAUGCAGAGAAGAACUUCUUUACUGUCAGAAUGACAGAGCACUGGCACAGGCUGCCCGGAGAGGUUGUGGAGUCUCCUUCUAUGAAGAUCUUCAAGACCCAUCUGGACACCGACCUGUGUGACCAAUUGUAGGGAACUGCUUUAGCAGGGGGUUCGACCCAGUGAUAUCUUGAGGUUCCUUCCAACCCCUGCGAUUCUGUGAUUCUGAUUGUGUGGCUCUGUGAUUUAAGGCUGUGUAUUUUCCCUCUUCUCUUUUUACAGUUAUUUGAAAAUGUUUUUGUCCUGAAGUCACCCCUCUUUGACUCCCCUUAAAUGGAGUACCAAUCUGAGGUUGGACAUGCUUUAAUAGAGGCUGCUUCUUUCUUCUUCUUCUUCUUUUUUUUUUUUUUUAAGAGGUGGAAAUCAUGGAAUAAUAGAAUGGCUUGGGUUGGAAGGGACCUUAAAGCCCAUGCAGUUCCAACCCCUGCCCUGGGCUGGCUGCCCCCCACGAGGUUAGGCUGCCCAGAGCCCCUCCAGCCUGGUCUUGCACGUCUCCAGGGAUGGGUACCCAUAGUUUCUCUGGGCAGCCUUGGCUUUCCUGCUCCCAUCCAUGCACAUCCUGACAGCAUCUCUCUAUUCUUUGCAGGCCACUCAAUCCUGCUUCCGCUGCCUGCACAUUUUCUUUCCCUCACUCUGACCAGCAGGGACUUGCCCAGCCAUGCCAGUUUCCUGCCUCCUCUACUUGAUUUCUUAUCUUGGAGGUUGGAGAGCUCUUGUACUCUCAGAAAGGUGUCCUUAAAGAGCUGCCAUCUCUGCUCUGUUCCUUUGUCCCUAAGAACAACUUCCCAGGGGAUCUCACCCAACUACUCCCUAAGCAGCCUGAAGUUUGCUCUCUUGAAGUUCAGGGUCCUGACUGCUCUUUGCCAGGUGCAUAUUCCUUGAGAUCACAAAUGAGACCAGGGCAUGGUAGCUGCAGCCCAACCUGCCUCUAAUCUUAAUCUCUUUAUCUGUCUCCUCUGAAUUCAUGAGCUCCCUGGUCCAGUAACCCUUCUCCUCUGUCAGUUAGACUAAUACCUGGGCCAGGAAGUUACUGUCGGUGGGCUCUGGGAGUUUCCUGGGCUGCUUGCAGCUCACUGUGUUGCUUUCCCACAAGGCGUCUGGAUGAUUGAAGUCCCCAUCAGGAUUAGAGUCUGUGACACUUCUUGCAGCUGCAGCAAGAAUGCCUCACCCACAGGCUUUCUUUGGUCAGACAGCCUGUAGUGGACCCCAACCACCAGAUGUCCUUUAUUGGUCCAGUCCCUAAUUUUGACCCACAGGCUCUGAGUCUGAUUGUGGGUGAUUCUCAGAGGCAGCUCUUCACAGUCUAUCUAUUUCUUAACAUAGAGGGCAACUCCAGCACAGGAACAGGUUGCCCAAGGAGGUUGUGGAUGCCCCAUCCCUGGAGGCAUUCAAGGCCAGGCUGGAUAUGGCUCUCGGCAGUCUAGUCUGGUGGUUGGUGACCCUGCACAUAGCAGGGGGUUGGAACUCGAUGAUCAUUGUGGUCCUUUUCAACCCAGGCCAUCCUAUGAUUCUAUGAUUUCAUGAUUGUAAAAACCUCUCAGCCCUCAAUCAUAGCGUUCCAGUUGUGUGAUUUGUCCCACCGUAUUUCUAUGAUAGCAAUUAGGUCAUGGCUUUUUAAUAAUGACCUCAUAGGAAAAAAAUCACUCUCUUUGUCUUGAGCUGAAAAAUAUAGGCGUGUCCAUCUGUUAAGUAAGUUUUUGUGCUCAAAUGUAGAUACGGUUCUCUGAAACGCCUUAACAACUAUUAUGAUAGUGAAAGCAUCUUGACUGCAACUCGAGAGACCUGGAUUCUUUUCCUGAAAUAACCACUGAUUCUCAAGUCACUUAAUUUCCAUAUCUUGAAAACAGAGUAGUGUAUUUGCUGUCUUUCAUAAAGAGCAUUCAAAUCUACAUAUGCAAAGUGAUACGUAAACAUUUGUAAUAAUAUAGUGGGUGAUAUUCUCCAGGGAUAUAAAAAGGGGUGACCAGAAGAUGCUGGGAGAAUGAACUGACUUCUGCAGCUGUAGCUGAGCUCUUUGUCUUACUGGUGGUAAUUUGCAACUCAGAAUUUGGUGGUGGGGAGACAGAGUGCACAGUCAAUCAGAGUGCAGUCAAUUAGAGCAUGGUCAAUUAGAGCACGGUCUGAUUGACUGAACCUUAAGGAAACAUACUCUGUUUGUGUUUGCAUUAACUUAAAGGAUUCUCAAUCAUGAGGUAUGUGUAAACAUAGUGGGGUUUCUAUUUUCAAACUCCAAUUUUUCCUUUUCUGUUGCCUUCCAACUGCCACCUGAAAGAAAUCCCCUGUGGGAUUGCUUCUAAAAGUCCAAGCAUAUCUACAGCAAAAGAAGAACAUUUUGUCUUUACAUACUCACGCUGCAGAAAGGAAACAUUAUGUGGCACCGCAGCAUCAGACAUUUGCUAAGACACGCAGUGGUGGCCCUGUUUAAUUCCUCCUAGUGGACAAACUGCUCCAGCAGUCACCAGUCUAUGAGCUGACUCCUGGCUCCCUGAGGCAGUUAGUGCAGCACUGAGAUGCUGCUUUUAUUUCUGAGCCGUUUGGUGAGUGCGUUUUAAUCAGAGAUGUGGAAGAAGUGUUGGGGAGGAGGUGCAGCCUUCUCCUUCUCAGGUAAUUAAUCAUCUGAUUUUUGGUGUCUCAGUAAUUACUGUUGGCAAAAAAAAAAAAAAGUCAUUUGAAUGGUGGCAAUAUACUGCAAGCAAACAUAACUUUGAAUGACUUUGUUUCAGCCACUUGUCUGUUCUUCGUGAGCAUUUUUACAGUCAGCUGAGGACUUGUAACCAAGCCUUUGGCCACAACUGUCAGCUCCAGAUUGCCUCUAGCAGGCAAGGGUGUGAUUGCAAGAUGCUACCAUUGCUUCUGGCCGCUGGCCUUAUUGUGCUGAGUAUGCACGAAGGGACGUGCACAGCCCUGACUGCUGUUGGAUCUGAUUUCCACUGAAUUCUGCUGACCCUUAAACUGCUGCUGUGAUGGACUGAAGUAGCCUGAAGUGAACCUUUUCUCCCCAGCCAAAGCAAAAUGUUUAUCAGCAGCUCCUCUAAAGCCACUGCUGUUGCCCAAGUCUCUCCUUCUGCUGUUUGCUGCCUGCAGGAAGGCACGGGGAGAUAGCGAGCAGCCUGGGUGAACCUGCUCUGCUCCGACAGCCACUUUAGUUACCUGCCCCGAACCUCUGCUGCCAGCAGAGGCAGCUGUUGGUUCUGAGGCCAUCUGGAGGCACAAGGCAGGAUUUGAGGGAACUGCCUUUCUCUGGAGCCUCUUGUAGCACUCGUAGGCUUUGUUUAGUUAUUUAUCCAUCCUUCCAAUGCCCGUGCCAGUUUAGAACUUCCCAACGCUUUAACUACCAGAGUGUUCCUGAAUAGGUCAGAGUCAUUAUCCAUUCCUAUGAGGCAUACUGAACAGAAGAUUUGUUUUAAAAACAGAUGAAACAAUCAGCUUCUGAGCUAAUGUGGGGGUUUCUUGUUUACAUGGGCUUCAGCUCAGGCUGGACAAGGAGCUGGAAGAGUUUCUGCUGUGGGUACUCCUGUAUGUUCUUGCAGAGAUUCUUCGAACGCCGGUGGUUCUGUUAGCAUCCCUACGAGUGAAGCUGUGGUUGAGCAGAACCAAUUUAAAGUUGUUACAUUUGUCUGAGCUAAUCUUAUUUAUUUCAGGGCUUUUGCUCAGCUCUGCCCUUCUUGUUCCCGAGCACCUCUGCAUGAGUCGCCGCGGGCACAGCUGUGUGCUUAGGGACUCAGUUCUAUGGGAGCUCCCAGCUCAGGUUUGGGUACUGAGUGUUCCCCAGUCAGUAGGAGGAAAAAAACUCAGAAAUCCUCAGAGUGACUGCUGCCAUUACUUUGCAGAGAGCCUGUGAGAGCUCAUUUAUAAGGCAUCUGACAGCAAUCAGCACCAGAUCGUUCAUAAUGUCUUUGGAGUGUUUGAGGCCAGAUAAAUCCGACUGAUUUUCUGCCUUUGUGAAUAGCUGUGAGCAUAAAUUAAUCUCUAAUUUGAGGGGAAUGCUGCGUGUUAGAUGGAAAUGCAGGACGGAGCUGGAGGGGGCAACCUGGGCCUUUUUAUUCUAUCUAAACAUUAAAAUGUUCCAUCUGUACUUCUACUGCGAUCUGCAGUGGAAGUCAAAGGAAGGAUUUUGUCUCUCUUCUUUUAUAUUUAGCAUUUCUCUCAACACUUCAGAAUGUUGUCUCUGUUUUUUUGGACAAGGGGUGCAUGUUUUUUCCCACUUCUUAUUCAUUUAUGAAUUUAAAGGUCAACGUUGGGAUUUUUCGUACUCAGAAGUGUAUUUUCUGUUUAUUAUUCAUAUUUUAGGUGAGUGGUAUUUUAUUUACUUUAUUGUUUGUUCUAGAUGUUCAGCUAUAUCUGUGCUAAGAAAAAGGUCCAUUACUCGACGCAGGUGACUAGCUCUGGGUGCCCCCACCUGGUUGGAGCUGCCUAUUUCAUUGCAGUGUUGCUAAAUCCUUUCUGUAUGGUUUUCAUUCUGAAAAAGAUUAACCACAAAACAGCAAUGCAGGCAGUUCAGAUUCCUGCAGAGCACUGCUUAUGCAUUUGGUGUGUAUUUCAACUGGAGUAUGUCAGCAGCUGACAACAGGAAAGAAUCAUAGAGUGGCCUGGGUUGAAAAGGACCACAAUGACCAUCAGUUGCAACCCCCCUGCUAUGUGCAGGGUUGCCAACCAUCAGACCAGGCUGCCCAGAACCACAUCCAGCCUGGCCUUGAAUGCCUCCAGGGAUGGGGCAUCCACAGCCUCCUUGGGCAACCUGUUCCUGUGCUUGGACUGAAGGUACCGAGCUCUUCAGAACUGACUGACCCUGGCAGUUCUGAUUUGAGGUGUAAGGCACGGAUCUGAGCCAUACGUGUUCUUUGCCACUAGGGUGGUGAUGCAGACAAGUUGAUGUUCGGAAGGCAUACAGCUAUGCUGGGCUAAUGUUUGAGCCUACAGUAAAGUGCCUACCACAAACCCAUCCUUCUUGAUAUAAAGAUGUCAAAUAUUCUUUUACUACUGUUAAAGGACAUAAAGGAAAAGUUGCAGAAAGAAAUUCCCUUCUGAGAUUUUCAGUUGUAAAAACUGUUGUUCUCAUACAAACUUCAAAGCAAAGCUAGAAGAACACAUGAAGAGGCUAUUAGUGCAGCUGUGGUUUCUAAAAUACGUGGCUCAUGCAAGUCCUGAAAGGUACAACUGCUCCUUUACCAGCAUGAAAGCUGGAGAGCAGCAGAGCCCCGACAAGUGCAGGAGGCUGUUUGGAUGUCACACAGUUCAGUGGUCUCACAGUCCCAGUGUCAGACACACAGAGCCAGGCCCAGGCUGAGGUUGUCCCAGAAGAUCGUUGCUGUAGAUUACUGAAGUACAAAGGCUUGUAAACAACUACAGUGUCCACACGCGGGGCUGAAAAUGAGCUGUUAAGAGCUGAAAAUAUCAAUGUCUGAAAUUGGAAUUACUGACUCCUACUGGUUAGAGUUCCACCUCUCCCACGUAGAGAAUUGUUGGAUGCUCAUAAUGUAGCUUUUCACACUUUUUACUCUGUCCCUUAAAUGAUGUCUGUUUGAAUGUGAUUUCUUGAAGCCUUCAUUAUUUGUAAGUGAUUAUGUCAGGCUUUGAUAUAUUUUAGCUAUGAGAGUGUUUGAAUUAUCUGCUUUUCUCCUUUCAGCUGUCAUUUCAGGUAAAUGACAAUUCUGCAAGUUUGUGGUUUUGACUUCUCACCUCAGCGGUUUGGAUCAGUGAUUGAGGACGUGGACCCAGGAAUUUGAAGAUGAGCUUCACUUUUAAUGUCUUCAUUUGGACACCAAGCAAAUCCCUAACUAAUUGAGGCUGAAAUGCCUUAGGAUGAUAUUUGCUGUUCUUUAUUUAAAUUCAGAGAGUUUAUCACCACACGGACAUUUCAGUUGCUUAUUCUAGGAAACUCAUGGAAACGUGCUUUGUUAAAUAAUGUAUUUUCUAUUUUUUUUCCCUUCCUUGUGUUACAAAAUGAAUGUAAAAGCUUUAAAACCCAGCAUUCACCACUCUGCAGUAGAUCUAAUAGAGUGGCAUUAUAUGAAGAGAUGCCAUGGUAACUGAAGUUGCCAAGACAGUCAGUGUCAAGCUUUUUAAUGGUGACUGCUAUACUAUAUUUGGCUUUGAUUACCACAAUCUGAAUAGCAAAUGGAAAGUGUUCACCGGUCUCAUUUGCUACCACCUACAGUCCAGAAGUAACGAGAUGACAGAAUUCAGUGUUGCACUGACUGCCAACCACUGGCCAUCAGGAUUGUUCUUUGCAGCACUCCCCUCUCCCACUGGAUCUCAUGGCAUCCUUAUCACAGCCUUACCAUUUGUGCUAUCCAGUUGGUGAUAUGCCACUUGUCUUAAUGAAAUUUGGCACCUGAAGCCAGUAGAGGAGUCUGCACUUUGUGAGCUGGCAAAAAAUCAGCAAAGUCAUUUCCACAGGAAACUGUUCUUUAAAUCUGUAAGUGGUGCGAAAGCAGAAUAAAGCAGAAACGUACACUGUUUUUUUCUCAUAAAUGGGUUAAGUGUACCUUACCUCCCUUGCUGUAAAGCUUUGUAGAUCCUGUUAUCAUCAGUUUUCACAAAAAUGAUACUUUCUUCUGUCUCCAUAAUUUUGGUUUAUUUUUUAAAUGCCAGAAUAGAAAGCGAGGUCCCAUCGCCAAGGUGCCAUUUUAUCAUUUUGCUCACUCUAAUACAAAUGAUUUACCUAUACACUGAAGUAUUACCGUAAGUUAUAAUGAAGCUCCUUGCUAAAACGUGCAGCAGCAGUUCCAAAACGUUACUCAUUACCUUUAAAUCCAGAACUAAACUUUCUGCCAGUAGUAAUAGCCUCAUGCUGUUAAAAAGGACUGUUUUUAACAUGCUGUUAAAGGACUGCUUUACUUAAAAGGAAGCAGUCACAGAGCAGACUAUGAAAUGCUUCUUGAAUGAGAUGAACAGUCCUGGCCAUAACAGUUGUAGACUAUUGGGAAACUCAAUAGGCAGCUAACAGGAACAACUUGGGUAGGAAGAGCUUGAGGGUGAGUGCAGCUCAGCUCAGAACAGCCUUCUGUCAUUCUCUCUUGCAGUUAGGCAGACAUAAACAAAGAAGCAUGAUGGGAAGAAACUGAUAUCUUGGAGGGAAGGGAAAGACUAAAUAAAGAGUAGGGAAAAAGCUUUAACAAUGUGAUUCUUUAGAUAGAAAGCUAGUCUCAAAAGACCUAUCCCUUGACACAUGAAAAAUUGAUUGGAGAAAGCAGUAGCAAAUAGUUUUCCAGGAAGAAUGUUGUAUUGGCAGGAGGAUGGAUAAGAUGAUCACAGUUCAUUUACUUAAGUUAUAUCCAACAGCAUUAUGAAGUAGGAGAAUAUAUGGGUGAUUUCAUGUGGUUUUGGAUCGUGUGGAUUUUGAACAAACCAGUCAGGAGGUAGCAGCAUUGCUUUGGAGAUCAGCAAAUGAAGAAAAACAGCUUCAGUUGAAAGGGAACAGAUUUGACAGGAAAAAUUCAUAUUUGUUAAAGAUUGGUUUAGAAUACUGACAUCAAAUCUCACUGUCAGUGGAUAUUUUCUUCAACGGCUGUAUCUCUACUGCUAAAAUGCAACACAACAAAUUCAGAUUCAUUCCUAAGAUCAAUUUGUUCAAGUCAACAAAAUUUUUGUCACACCACUGUUAAACCUGAGAUGCCUCAAAUAAAGAGUAUAACUUGGCUUGAAAACAGCACGAAGGAUGAAUGUAAUCCAUGCCAUCGAGAAAAUAGCCAAUGUUAAACUAGAUGAGUUUGACACCAAUUCAAAAGGCAUCUUCUUGUGUCCUACAUUCUAGUAAUUUUGUUGACUAAAUUAUGUGUUUAAAUUUAUACGGCAAACUCAGGCCAGCAUUUGGGUUCCUGUGAUUAUUCAUUUGUAAGGCUGUGAAUGCUUAUUAAUGGCUCCUGGCUUUAGAAUGAGCGUUUAUGCUUCCAAAGCACUGCACAUGACUAAUUUGUUCUUCUGCUUAUUCGAAAGCAGCAGGGGUUGUCAAGAAGCCAAAUCUACACUGAAUUAAAACCACGUUGCUUUGCUUCCAUAGAAGAGGUAAUACUUGGCUGUUGUAAAAAAGUCACACUUCAAUUGAGCAUCAGUUCAUCACUGAAACUACAAAGUGGAGCAGUCGCAGAGCAGUCCCUGUGCAGACUUGUUGCUGGCUCACGCCUGCCAGUACUUCACAGAGAUGCAGAUGCCAUUGGUGGACUUUUCACUGCUGGACAGAAGGCAUUUGUGUGAUUGCUUGUUGUGAAGUACCUUCUGCAGAGACUGCCUGCAGUUUUGGAAGGCAGCUGGAUAGCAUCAUGCAUUAGUAAUCUAAUGACCUUUACCCCUCGGCACCAUUUCCUCACAUCUUGAACAGCUUGGCAAUACUAGGAAAGCAUCCCAUGGUUCAGUACAGUUGUGUAAUAGAAGUUCUUCUCAUUACAUUUCACUCAUUGACUGAUUUUAUCUCAAGAGUAAGCACAGCAGCUAGAAAUCACAGGAAGCCUCGGAAGAGAGUUGGAUUAAUACCUGAAGGCAGUUUCCUCUGGAAGUGAGCUUUCCUUCGAGGCAUGGAGCAGCACUGCUGCUGUGGCUGCUGCACUGGGGCUGCAGGAAGUCCCUCUGUGCAGACAAAACUCAUUCUGGGAACAUGCAAAGAACACAGAGUUUGGACCCAAUUACUCACUCUGCCAUCUUUUUUUAUCCUCAAGGAUGGGGGGGAAUCCUUUAUCAGUGCAUAGUAAUCGUCUUGAUGUCCAAUGAAAAGAGCAAUGACAAACAUUUCCUUGCCAGACAAUGAGUAUUGCAGGCAGACAGCUGGGUUACUUUCCACCUUUGCACGAGCACAUCUGCUCAACGAGCACGGCGUGCAUUCGGAGAUACCCGAGCACGCAGGGCUGACAUUUGCUUUUCAGAAGCGCCCCCCUGACAGGCACUUGAAUGCUCAGACACCCGUGUGAAAGGUACACAGGACAUCAGUGGGACGAGCUGCGUAACUCACACCAAUGACACGUCUCUUUUCACUUGCAGUAUUUAUAGCUGGCAGUGAUUUCCCAUUGCGCACUUUUGCUUUAGGAAGGACUUCUAAAAUAUCAAGAGUUUGUUCCAUACAGACCUUUUCCUUUGGGUACAUGAAGGAGGCUGAUGUCAACGGCAGCUCUCGGACGUGGCCCUGAAUACACAGCAGUACGAGCCAUUCUGCUUGUGCAUGUGGUCAGCUUUUGCUUCAGUCUUCUUGUGCUUCUGCUUGUGCUUCAGGCAGCAUGACUUUCAGAGCUCUUCAUUUUAUUUUAUGGCUAAUUUCACGAAUUCAUUAGGGGCAUUGUAGUGGCAGUGCUCAGUCACAGCCUGAAACAGUGAUGGAGCACCUGGUGGGAAGGCAGGGCCAACCCAGGGGAGUUCAGGUGCACGUAGUGCUGCUGAGUGACUAGAAGGGAUGGAGUCAGUAUCCACCCCUUCCCAGCCCUCAUUUAAGGGUUGGCAGUGGAGCUGAGGGUAUCUUUUGCUGGAGAUUCCUGCUUACCUGCGGCCUUCUAAGAGUAAGCAGCUCUUUUCCUUAAUUUUUGCAUCUGUGGCUGUUGCAUUUGGGCUCAUUCUCAUUUGGAGUAGCUAAAGACUUUGACGCCCUGCUAUUAUCCUAUUAUAGCGUUGCAGGCAUUAAUAAUAGUUAAGGAGAUUUAAAUCCAUUAUGACUGUAACACUGGGCAGGCUGCAGGGGUGUGCAGAUGUCAUCUCCAUGUUCUUCUGGAGGAAUUUUGGAUGCUCAGUAGCAGUGAUGCCAGUGUUGGGGCAUGCACCCAGAGCACCCCUGUCUGGAGGAAAUGUAGUUCCCCACAUCUUGCAACGCACAGAGCUGUGAGAACACCAGAAUGCCUGAGCACUCAUCUGCUGCCCAGCUCUUGGCUGCUGCUAGAUGCAGCUCGUGACUUUGAAACCAGUUGUUUGCAAAAGAGCUCUGUGCCAUGCCCUGCAGGGCGAGCAGGGCCUCGUGCUGCAGCUGCUGACUAAUGCAUGACACCUCUGCUGUGAGGCAGUUGUGUUCACUCACCGAGGUCAGGGUGACUCAAAGCAGCACAUGUUCCAUGUCGAUGCCCAGAGGCAGCUGCUGUUUUACAUCAUGACAAUGUCAAUUAUCACCUACAACACUCCUGUAAGGAGUAAAAUGGCAUUGACAAAAGAUGCAAUUAUUUGGCUGUUUGCUUUCUCAGUCCUCUGCUAAUGUCAGUGUCUGGUUGUCUCUCUGAUGAUGCCUUUAAACCACAUGUGUGACAGCUACACUGCGUUGAAAAACACAGCUUUCCCCACCUGUGUGUGCAUGAGGAGAUGUGCUGUUGCAGAGAUGCCCUGAUCUUUCUGAGCACCACUGUAACGCUGCUGGAGAAGCUCAAGGGGGGAUUGUGUCCUUUCCAGUGGAGGCUGGAGGUGCAAUAUUGAUCUCAGCCCCCAUCUCUUGGAUAGCUGGAGUGUCAAGCACUGGGUAGAAUUGCUGUAAGUGCGCUGGCUCUUGCUGUGCUCCUGGCCGUUCCUCUGCUUCAUGUCUAUGUGCUUGGGCCUUUGGAGCUGGCUGCUGCACCAGCCCAGCUCUCGGAGGUGUCCCCCAGCAGCUGCUGCCUGGGGUUGCUUGGGCUGCUCGCAGGAGCUGAGGGCACAGCCCAGCCCGCUGUGCUGGCAGAGGCUGAUAGCCUGCCCAGAGCAAGUUUUUCUCCUCCACCACAGUCAUCUGACCUGUCCUUAGAACGGCAUCUGCUUUUGGGGGGCAAGACCAACAAAAAACAACAGCAACAAAAAGCUUUUGUGAUUCAUCUCUUAUUUAGAGCAUGUGCUAAUGAUGAAUUUGGGUGCAUCCCAUCUUGUCUCUAGGAACAGCUGGAAUAACUUCUGUGUUUUUGCAUUGGAAACAACAAUGUUGCCGAAUCAUAGCUGUUCUUUGUGAAUCUCUCCAUUUCUUUAAGUUGUCAAUUUAUGGAAAAGUGGAAGAAUCUGGUAGUGAAACUGAAACUUCUUGUUUGAUCAUUUUGGUACCAGCAGAUGUGGGGAAUUCAUUCCAGGACAAGUUUAUUGCCUACGUUCACGUUCUGACAUUGCCAAAAUGAGCAGAAAUAAAAGCCUUCCCCACCCCCCUCAAGUUUUUAAAUAUAAUGGGAAAUGUUUUUAUUCUUUGGAGUUGUGGCAGAGUCUGCACAAUUUAACCUUGCAGACUUAUCCUGUUCAACCACAGGUCGUGUGCUGCUGUCCCAGCAGCUGGGGCUGGAUCCAUGCAGUCAGUCUGCACACGACGUGGAGGUUUGCUGAUGCUGCACAGUUGGGUGCAGGCAGUCAUCUGCAGAGCCCUCACGCCUUUGUAUCAUCCAGCCUGAUACUCAUAGCGCUGUUUUACUAAGCCCAAAGCCUUUACUGGUUACACAUGCUCUGCGUCAUUCCUUCCAUUGGCACGUGCUCCGUUCGGCAUUCUCUCAUUCACGUACGACACAGGGAAGGGAUUGUAUACUCCACUGUGAUACCACUUACAUCUCCUCCUUUGUUUCUAGGCAUGUAAUUACAUAUGGAUUUGGACCUUAACAAACCAUGGGUUGCUUUAGGUUACACUUGCUCCUGCCUCAGCCUAACUACGUGUUUUCAUUUAGAUUUUGGCAAGACCUUUGUCUGGCCAGCUGGCUUUUGUGCUCGAGACCAUCCUGUCUUUUGUCUUGAGUUACCCUUCCUUCUUCCCAACUGCAGCCCUGACUGCACUUGCAGUAACAGGGAUGAAUUUAUCAAAUGUUUGUGUAUUCACACAAUUAAAACGCAGAUAUUGAUUUGUUACUUUGAUCUCUUGGCUUCCCUUACCAGAAUGUAGGCAUGUAGACACAAAUACAGGGUGUGGAGGAUCUGUUGCAAAGGGCAAUUUUGAUCUGGCCGUAGCAGCGUGAGCCAUCUGUUGAUUGGCCUUUGUCAGCCAAAUUGUGCUACUAGUUGGCAUAGUGAAUAUGUAUGCAGCACUCUGCAGGACAAAACUCAUAAAUUCAGAUUGCCUUGCAUGAACUUAUAUAUGCAGUUCAGCUCCACAAAGAGAAAGAAAAAGAAAAAAACUGCAUACAUUGCUUAUGCAACAAAAUGUUGCUUAUUUAUAGUGGCAUUUACAAGGUGCAGGGAAAGCUGAUAUCCUCCUCAAUGAUGAGGGCUGAAAACCUCAUUAAAAUGUGUUAUAACAUCAAGUGAUGCAUUUCUGCCCCUACUGCUCCAUUUUAACACAGG